rnacentral:rRNA from 1 species
UACAGGGGGUGCAAACGUUGCUCGGAAUCAUUGGGCGUAAAGCGCACGUAGGCGGUCUGUUAUGUCGGAUGUGAAAAGCCCUUGGCUCAACUGAGGAAGUGCAUCCGAAACUGGCAGGCUAGAGUACUAAAGAGGGUCGCGGAAUUCCCGGUGUAGAGGUGAAAAUUCGUAGAUAUCGGGAGGAACACCGGUGGCGAAGGCGGCGACCCGGGUAGAUACUGACGCUGAGGUGCGAAAGCGUGGGGAGCAAACAGG